AGCGGCAGAGGCACGGAGGACGUGGCUGGGCGCCCCGGGCACGAGCAGGACCCGAGGCCAGGGGCCAGGGGCCCAGAAGGUUCAUACCUGUUGGUGGAGAUGUUAGAGAGGAGUGGAGAUAAAAACUUGAUGAAGUCCGACACAGCUGGCUGGGAGUGAACCUGGAUGCUCCUAAGGACCCCCCAGGAAAGUAAGCACCUGGCAUGUGUAUCAGAAGACCCCCUAUGGCCUCACACACAGAGAUCAGAAGCAGCGCGCGUCCCAGAGCGCUACCAUAAUGAUGCCGUCCAGGUCCACAGUACAACCGGCUGCCUUGGUCAUUGCCGUAAUGACAGUACAUUCCAACUUCUCAAGGUGGUCAGGAAGUGGAACCAAGCAGGAAGUUCUGCAUGCCUAUGGCUUCCCUGUGGAGGGACCUCAAGAAGCCACAACAUCCAGCUCUACGCCAAGACUGACUGACGGCCUUUGGGGUGAGGUAGUAGGUUGUAUGGUUUUGGGCUCUGCCCCGCUCUGCGGUAACUAUACAAUCUACUGUCUUUCCUGAAGUGGCCGCAAUAUCUGCAGUGGAUACAACGGCGGCCCUGGCUGGGGAGACUGAGGGAGGGACAGGGGGGUGAUAACUACCAUGCAAAAAGAGCCUGACAGAGACCUUGGAUAGUCCCUUGACCUCUCUGGGCUGUUACUCAUCUGUAUAAGGGUUGGGGCAUAGCGAUGAAAACAGACAGCAUUUUCAGGGCACCUUCUCUCCCUGGCCCACACUGAAGGGGCCUUCCUGCCCCUGGCCCCAUAUCAGACCUGUGCUCACAGGUCUCCAUGAAAAGAGGGUCUGGACUAGACCUUCAACUAUGUUCCAGAGUUGCCCAGGCUUUCCAGCGCAGGGUCAGGCCUCUGACGAGCAAGCGUCUCUUCCGAGAAGAAAUUGAAAAGGAGCCAUUCUUAGCACACCCAUGAGUACAGCCUGCAGAUGGACCGUGUAGGCCACUGUCCCCUGUCCCUGGGGCAAUGGGUUCAGACACCAGAGGCUUCCUCAAUCUGUUUGGUAGGCACAGGCCUUUCUCACUGAACCUCUGUCUCCACUUCCCCCUCCCCCACCCCGCCCUGUGCCCUAUGGCUCUAGUGGCCUGUGGCCAGGGUGGGUGGGGAGCGGCUGGGCCUCCUCCAGAACACGGACACCGCAGGGUGAGGUAGUAGGUUGUGUGGUUUCAGGGCAGUGAUGUUGCCCCUCCGAAGAUAACUAUACAACCUACUGCCUUCCCUGAGGCGCCCAGGGACACAGCUACAUGGAGGCCCCCGCUCAGCAAGCUAAAUGGAGCCACAGAUUGGGUGGGGGCUAUGACGUGGGACCUGGGUAUAAAUAAAGGAUGUUCUGUCAUGAACU
rnacentral:lncRNA from 1 species